rnacentral:tRNA from 1 species
CAGGGAGUAGUUUAAUUAUUAAAAUAUUAAUUUUGGGAAUUAAUGAAAAAGUAAUACUUUUUCUCUGA